CACUGAGCCCCGUGGGAAGCUCCCUCAAAGGACAAAGUAAGUUUUAAGCUUCCAAGCAAGCAGACUGAGCAAGAACUCAUGGCUCCAGAGAAAGCUCUUGGAUAGAGAAACAGUGAGAACAGGCAACUUAAGUGGAAAGUGUCAGUGCACUGGUAACUGGUCAUCGGAAUUGCAGGACUACUCGUCACCUCGGCAAAAGAUCUUCCUCCCCUGAAACAAGCAGAAUGGGGGUGGUUGGUGGCCAUGUUCACACCCAUACUUGAUAUUGACUUCCACAAUACAAGGAUUCAAGGUGUACAGCUUCCUGUGAGAAUGUAAACUGGCAGUUCUCUGUGGUGGCCUGCCGGGGUGCAAAAGGACAGCAAUCUGGAUUAAAUUUAAUGAAGGUAUGUGAUUUGACCUGACAUGGCCACUAGUGAGAGAGAACAGAAAGAAUCCGUAGAUCUGAAGUUCCCAGGGAAGAAGGAAUGGGAACACAGCAACCUGGUGAAGAAGUUCUUGAAAUUAUUGCUAUCAUUCCUACAAACUGUCACCUCCUUGAAGCAGCCUCUCCCACGAAUCAAUUACCUCUUCAUCUUCAGAACUUUGUUCAAGAUUCACGUCUAGGAUUUCCUGAAGUAGCUGCAUCAGGUUCCAGGUCAUCUAGAAAUUUUGCGCUAUGUGCAUGUUCCCUUCCUGAUUCUUUCAUAAUUUGAUCUGCGUCCCUGGACCGUAAGAUUUGAAUUUGUACCUUUAAGCAUUUUUGUAUGUAUUAUUUAUGCAAGCAUUAGUAUGUGUAUUUGUCCUCCAUACUACAUUAGUUAGAAGUCUUAAAGGCAGGCUUGAUGUAUCAGUCAUGCCAAAUAAG